ensembl:lncRNA
UUACCAUUGCCUUUUACUUCUAUCUCACUUCUCUGGUUCUCUUAUGGCAGAAGGUUACAUGGACAGCACAGCAUAAUCAUCCGCUUGGACACAUCCUUUGCUUCUCUGUCCCUCCAUUAUUACCCCUGGAAAGAUGGCCUGGUUAAACCCAGUUUUCUUCUUCUUCUGUUUGUAGCCAAGAAGCUAAAUAUUACUGGAGAAAAUUAUGUUAACUUCAAAUUUAUGACCUCAGAUCGCAAAUGGGCACUCAAUCCCUUCAGAUAUUCCUGCUACUCUUCCCCAAUAAACUUAUUUUUCUAUUCUCCCAAACAACUGUGUUACUUCUUUUCUUAAGCCUCCAACAGCCUCUCACCUCUCAAUCUCAACUAUGACCUCAGUUUCAACUUCAUAGAGAAAAAUGAUUUUAUUAGAUGAGAAUGACCUUAUCUUUCUACCUUCUGGUCUAUGUCUUAGUUGAUUUUGUGCUGCUAUGAUAGAAUACUUAAACCUGGGUAAUAUUUUUAAAGAACAGAAAUUUAUUUCCUCUAGUUCUGGAGACUGAGAAGUCCAAGAUCAAGAUGUCAGCAGGUUUGGUGUCUGGUGAGGGUCCAGUCUCUGCUUCCAAUAUAGCGCCUUAAAUGCUGCAUUCAUUAGAGGGAAGGAACCCUGGAUCCUCACAUAGCAGAUGUCAGAAGGGCAAAAAUGGGUGAGACUCCCUCCAUCAAGUCUGUUUAGAAGAGCACCUAAUCCCUUUCAUGAGGGAGGAGCCCUCAUGACUUAAUCACCUCCUAGAGGCCACACCUCCCAAUGCCGUUGCAUUGGGGAUUAAGUUUCUACAUGAAUUUCUGGGGACAUUUUCAGACCAUGGCAGUCUGCUACUCUGCCUGGAUUUGUACCCCAUUGUUACAGUGGAAGACUUGUGUUAUCUUCUAAGCCUUGCAUUCUAUCCUGGAUCCUAUCUGCCUUUUGCUGAAGGAUUUCCCUGCUGUAAGUGUCUUCUUUCUCUCCUACAUGAAAACUUUUUCCUUUCAACUAGGCUAUUCUCAUACGUACAUACCUUAAUCUUCUAUCUUAAAUAAAACCCUCUUAAGCUGGCAUUGCCUUCCAGCUAUCUACCUCCUCCCAUCAUUUCUCUGUUCCCAGUCACAACAAGACUUAUGGAAAUAUUUGAACACAAACAAACCUUUCAAAUUCCUUGCCUCCUGUUUUCACCUCAGUCACUCCAUUCACACUUUCAUUCUCAUCAAUCCACACCAAGAAGGCUUUUACUAAGACCUACAUCUUCCCCAAACUGACAGAGGGUCAAUUUUCUGUCCUCCUUUGAUGUCUUAGUGGCAUUUGAUCCAAUUGACUGCUCCCUCCUUCUUUGAAACUCUGCUUCAUCUGAUUCUGAAAUAACACACUCUUCUUGUUUUGUUUUUUUUUUCUUUUUUUUUCCCCACCUCGUUGCCCCAUUUCUUAGUCUACUUUGCUGGCUGCUGCUUCUGUUUCAGAUCUCUAAAUGUUAGAACACCCAAAGCUCUUUCCUUGGCCCUCUUUUCUAUCCAGAUUCUAUUGUUGUAUAAUGAAAUGUAUGUGUUGAUGACUCUUAGGUUUUAAUCAGCCAGUUGGUUCUUUACUCUGGGUUUUAGACUCAUAUAUUCAACCACCAACUCAACAUCUUCACUUGCUUGUCUAUUAGACAUCCUAAACUUUGUAUGUCCAAAGAGAGCUAGUGUUUACUAUACCCUCCCAUUCUAGCCCCAACUGUCCCCUCUAAGUCAUCCCCAUAGUAGCAUAUCUCAACACCAUUCCUGUAGUUUAUGGUGCCAGAAACUUAGUUCCAACUCUUCUAUUUUCUUCACACUUCAAUCCAUGUCAGAAGGGCAAAAAGAGGUAAGACUCCCUCCAUCAAGUACGUUGGUAAAGCCAAGACCCACUGUUUGGCGUUACCUCAAAUCCACAUAUUAAAUCUGUCCACUUUCUUCACUACUUUCACUUUAGUCCAAUUUACCUUCAUUUCUG